rnacentral:lncRNA from 1 species
GAAACUUGUGGUUGGUGUUGAAAAAGAAGUGAAAAGCCUUACCAGCCACCUUGAAGCCAUUCAAGUUGUGCUCGAUGAUGCAGAGGAAAAGCAAGUGAAGGACAAAGCUGUUAGUCUUUGGCUGGGUAGGCUCAAGUACGCAUCCUACGACAUUGAAGAUGUGUUGGAUGAGUGGAUCACAGCAAGACGCAAAUUGCAAAUUGAGGGUGGCGUUGAUGAAAAUGCUCUUGUUGUUCCUCAUAAGAAAAAGAAGGUAUGUCUCUGCUUUCCCGGCUCUUGUUUUGGAUUCAAACAAGAAGAAUUUGGUUUCAAACAAGUCUUUCUCCGUCAUGACAUUGCCGACAAGAUCAAAGAAAUCAAUGAAGAGCUACAUGAUAUUGCCGCUCAAAAAGACAUGUUUGAUCUUGUUAAGAGUGGCAAUAAAAGUAGUGAAAGACCAAGGCGUGUACAGAGUACCUCCUUGAUUGAUGAGGAAGAGAUUUGUGGUAGAGUUGGUGAGAGGAAUGAACUCAUAAGCAAGCUGUUGCGUGAGAGUAGCGAGCAACAAAAAGGCCUCCAUAUCAUCUCAAUUGUUGGUAUGGGAGGCAUAGGGAAAACUACUCUUACACAACUAGCUUGUAAUCAUGAUGAGGUGAAGAGAAAGUUCGACAAAAUUCUGUGGGUGUGUGUAUCAGAAACUUUUGAGGAGUUUAUGGUAGCCAAAGCGAUCGUUGAAGUUUUGGAUGGUCGUGAAUCUCAUUUAGCUGAAUUCCAUUCUCUUCUUCAACAUAUUUAUGAAUCAAUUGCAGGGAAGAGCUUUCUUCUUGUCUUAGAUGAUGUGUGGGAUGGAAAUUACUUGAAAUGGGAACCAUUCUACCGUUGUCUAAAGAAUGGUCUCCAUGGAAGUAAAAUUUUAGUUACCACACGUAGUGGGUCUGUUGCAUCCACGAUGGGAUCCACAGAUAUUAUCUCCGUCAAGGAGUUAGCUGAAGAGGAAUGUUGGUUGUUGUUUAAAAAGAUAGCAUUUUUUGAUCGGUCCAUCGAGGAACGUGAAAAAUUAGAACAAAUUGGGCAAAGAAUUGUAGGCAAGUGCAAAGGUUUACCUCUUGCAGCAAAGACAAUAGGGAGUCUCAUGCGUUCUAAACAAACUGAAGAAGAGUGGAAAAGAAUUUUAAAUAGUGAUUUAUGGAAAGUAGAAGAGAUUGAGAAAGAUGUUUUGUCCUCUUUAUUGUUGAGUUAUAAUGAUUUGCCAUCUAGAGUAAAAAGAUGUUUUUCAUAUUGUGCUGUCUUUCCAAAAGACUACGAUAUAAAAAAAGACGAACUAAUCACAUUAUGGAUGGCUCAAGGUUAUCUUAGUGCGGAACAAGAUGAAGAGAUGGAGACAGUAGGUGAAGAGUAUUUUGGCAUCUUAGCUUCUCGCUUGUUUUUUCAAGAGUUUAAGAAAAGUUAUGAUAAUCGUAUUAUAGAGUGCAAGAUGCAUGGUAUGGUACAUGAUUUUGCCCGAUUUGUAAGUCAAAAUGAAUGUUUUUCGAUGGCAAUUAAUGGUAGUGAAGAACCAAACGCCACAAACUCUCUUGAUGAGAAGGUCCGUCAUUUAAUGUUAAUCUUUAGUAAAGGGGCUUCAUUACCUGUUUCCACUCGUAGAGUUAAAAGAAUGCGUACCCUCGUAAUUAACGAUAGUAGAUCAUUAAAUGGCGAGAUCCUAGAAGAAUUAUUUAGGGAAUUGACAAGUUUAAGGGCAUUAGAUUAUGGCGGAUCGCCCCACUCAAGGCCGUUGUUGACUGCGGAGGUUCCAAGAAACAUAGAAAAGCUGGUACAUUUGAGAUACCUUAAUUUGUCUUUUCAGAAAAUAGUGAAACUACCGGAGACAUUGUGCGAGUUGUAUAAUCUAGAAAAGUUAGAUAUUAGUUGUUGUUUGUAUCUUAGAGAAUUACCUGAAGGGAUUGGGAAGUUAAUAAACAUGAAGCAUUUACGAAAUAGAGGUACUAGUUCUUUAAGGUACAUGCCAGUAGGGACUGGGAGAUUAACGGGUCUUAGGACCUUGGGUCAGUUCCAGGUGAGUGCAGGAGGAGGUGUUGAUGGUAGGAAAGCAUGUAGGCUUGAAUCUCUUAAAAAAUUGGAACACCUUCAAGUAUGUGGUAUACGUAGACUGGGUGAUGUAUCAGAUGUGGGCGAGGCUAAGCGAUUAGAACUUGACAAAAAGAAAUACCUCUUCAGUUUGACCCUUGAGUUUGAUAAGAAGGAAAGAGGAGGAGAAACGAGGAAGAACGAGGACGAUCAACUUCUUCUUGAAGCCCUGCGACCACCUCUGGAUUUAAAGGAAUUAGUGAUACGGUACUACCGAGGCAACACUGUUUUCCCCAGCUGGAUGACGUCAUUAAUCAACUUAAAGAGUUUAGAUCUCUCUUCCUGCGAAAAUUGCGAGCAGCUGCCUCCUUUGGGAAAAUUGCCGUCCCUUGAAAAACUCGGCCUAUCGGACAUGAAGAGUGUGAAAAGAGUGGGUGAUGAAUUUUUGGGGAUAGAAAGUGAUCAUCAUGGCUCAUCUUCAUCUUCAUCGGUUAUUAUUGCCUUCCCCAAAUUGAAAUCACUCUCAAUUGAGUUUCUGCGCGAAUUGGAGGAGUGGGAUUAUGGGAUUACAAGAACGGGAAACACCGUCAUCAACAUCAUGCCACGUCUUUCUUCAUUGACAAUUGUUGAUUGCACCAAAUUAAAGGCACUGCCCAACCACAUUCAUCAAACGACAACGUUGAAGGAAUUGUGCAUUGUGGAUUGUGAGCUUCUGGAAGAACGUUACCGCAAGGGGGAAGGAGAAGACUGGCCUAAGAUAUCACACAUUCCCAACAUAGAUAUUUUUUAAGAAGGAUUUGCGCAUUCGAGAUUUGGCGUUGACAAGUAAUUUCUUCUCUUACUCUGAUUUGCUUUGUUGUUGUUUUUAAUCUAAUUAAGAAGCGUAAAUAGCAUUUUGAAUCAAACUCUAUAUCCGAAAUCUGCAAUACAUACUUUCUAAUAUUCUGAUUUUCAUAUCCUACCAUUUUUAAUUUGUGAGAUGGGUAACGUUACUGUAAAAGAUUAUUAAUGGAACAUGAGUAAUUCUUUUGCAGGACAAGUGACCUACAUUUAGUUUGGCUUUGGAGUUGAAUAAUAACCUUUCAAGGCCAGGACCCAAAAGCAGGAAAAACAAAAAAAGGAACGAAGCUUAAUUUUGCCACAGAUUACAUGUAUUGCCAUUAUUGACAAGUUUCUGGACAAGUGAUCAAGGGUGAGAGUGGUGCUACAACAUUGAAUAAAGCAGUCGUGACUGAAUUUAGGUUGUGUCAAAAGUGGUAAAUUAUUUGCAUGUGUAGCUAAUUUGACCAUUUCCUGAUCUAUAAGUCUAUAUUAAUUUUGAUUUUUAGUUGAGUGAUUACAUUUCAAGGUUUGCUUACUUAACAGGGCGACCAAUUUCUUUUAACUAAAUGUAUUAUAUGAUGCAGGAAGCAAGGCAGGAUAUGAAAUAAGAAGCUUAUUAAUGGCAGUUGGCAGUGAAUGGAGGCCCUUGACUAAAUUCUCAAGCGGUUGCACUGCAAUUACGCUUAUCCGUAGCCUCAGGUAAUUUCUUCUUCUGCAUUUUUGUAAUUUGUUAUCUAAUUAAGGGGCGUGAGCUAUUUUGAAUCAAAUUCUAUAUCAGGAAUAUAUGCAACAUUUUUUAAAAUUUUGAUAUGAGAGUAAUGAUGGUAAUUUCUCUUUUUUGUCUGUCAUCGAAUGUUAAAUAACAUUCACUAAGACUCUUGAGAGUCAUUUUUUGACAAUUGCAGGACAAGCGACGAAGAGUGAGAAUGGUGUUAGAUUGGGGAUUGAGGCAAAAGGAGGUAAAUUAUUGGCAGAGAAUUUGGGAGCUUGAGUGUACAGGGAUUUGCAAUUACAAUCUUACUCUGCCUUAGGUGAUUUCUUCUCCUGCUUUGUCAUUGGUUGUUCUCUAGUUGAAAAGCAUAAAGUAUUUCAAUCAAAUUCUAUACCAAGAAUAUGCAAAACUUUAUUUCCAUCUGUUUGCAUUGAUAACUUUGCGGCAUAUGCGCUAGUUAAAGAACAAACAGAAACAGAGGUCAGGAACAAGUUUCCUCUGCCGUCAUAUUUGAAAAUGCAACCAUUUCCGGGAAGUAGUUGGCAGCAAAUUCAUAUAAAGUGUAGACAAUAAUGAGCAAAAAGGUGAUUCACAAUUUUAUUUUUUUUAAAUUAAUUGUUAGGUUGGAGUUGUUAAAAGGCCAUUGAGCUAACCUAUGUCAUUAGUUACCUAGAUUGCAGGGGGUCCCGAGACUCCAAAGAAGCAUUGAAUUUUAAAAGGCAUGCAAUAAUUCUUGUGGGCGUAUGAGUUUGAUUUAGAAUCAAACUCUAGAUCAGAAAUCUGCAAUGCAUAUUUUCUAAUAUUCUGAUUUUCAUAUCCUACUAUUUUUAAUUUGUGAGAUGGGUAACGUUACUGUAAAAGAUUAUUAAUGUAAUAUGAGUAAUUCUUUUGCAGGACAAGUGACCUACAUUUAGUUUGGCUUUGGAGUUGAAUAAUAACCUUUCGAGGUCAGGACAACAAAAAAAUGAAUCUUAAUUUGCCACAGAUUGCACUUAUUGCCAUUAUUGACAAAUUUCUUCACAAGGGAUCAAGGGCGAGGAUGUUGAUAGAAUAUUGAAUAAAGCUGCCGUGACUGAACUUACGUUGAUGUCAAAAGAGGUAAAUUAUUGGCAUGCCUGACUAUUUUGACCAUUACAUGAACAUGAGUUUACAUUAAUUUUGAUUUUGAGUUGAGUGACUUUUUAAGGUUUGCUUACUUAACCGGGUGAUGUGAUGCAGGAAGCAGGGCAGGAUAUGAAAUGAGAAGCGUAUUAGUGGAAGUAUUGCCAGUAACAGAACCCAAAAAAAAGUGGAACCAUUUUAAGGCAGCAGUUGGCAGUUGGGAGUGAAUGGAGGCCCUUGACAAAAUUCUCAAGCAGUUGCAAUGCAAUUACGAUCAUCCUCAGCCUCAGGUAAUUUCUUCUCCUGCUUUGUUGUUAUUUGUUACCUAAUUAAGAAGCAUAAAGUAUCUUGAAUCAUUUUCUGUAUCUGGAAUAUAUGCAACAGUCUCUAAAAUUUUGAUGACUGUAAUGAUUGUAGUUUCUGCUUUCUGUCCGACAUCGAAUGUAAGACGACUUUAUUAAGACUCUUGAACCGAGACAUUUUUGACAAUUGAAGGGCAAGUGCUGAAGAGUGGGAAUGGUGCUAGAUUGGGGAAUAAAGCAAAAGGAGGUAAAUUAUUGGUAGUUUCUGCAGCCUUGUUUUCUUUGAAUCAGCACCUGAUUCACAAGACUCCAUUAAUUUGGCUUUUGAUGAGCUGAGUGAUAAAUUUUCAAUUUCUUUGGUGCUAAAUGUAUGUGUGAAGCAGGUAGCAGGGCAUGACUGUGGAAAAGAGAAGAUUUUAGUGAAAGCUGAAACUCAGAUAAUUCUACAUUUAUCUAAUUCACGAAAUUUUAUUUCCAUCUGUUACAAGAUCAAACUGAAGCAGAACUCAAAGAAAGUAAUCUACUUCUUGCGGCAAUCUUGCCUUCGCUCAGAUUAUGAAACCAUUUCCAUGCACCAAAUUCAUCCAAAAGUUUGAAUAAGUUUCAUGGUUGGACACUGUUGGCUUCUUUUUCUUUUGGGGUGCAUUUUGGUGCUACCAAGUGACAGCUGCAAGUAUGAUUGCACUAACCUGCUGCUGGGAAAUUUGAGGUUUUGAUGGCUGCCCAUGUUAUUGUCAAGAAACUCCUCAUGUAAGAAGCUGUGGUUCUUUUCAUCAGCUUGAACCUGAAACUGUUGCUAUGGAUAACUCACGUUUUUAUUCUCAACUAUAUCAUCUUUUUUAGUGUUUUGAAACUCUUAAGAUUAAACUUUGGUAAAAUGUUUUCAGUUAUCCAUGUAAUCAGGCUGAGGAUAAUUUAGUAAAGUUGUUUCCGCUAUUCAAAUGAAAAACCCCAUUGAUUUUAACCAUGAUAAAGCUAAUGUUCCCAAUGAUUACUGCAGGUGAGACUUGUGAAGAGGGUGAGUGAGGCAACUGCUAAAAUUCCUGGCUGGGAUACAGUAACUAGAGGCUGAGAUCAGGUGGUGGAAUUUUUUGUUCCGUGGAUGAUACCAGAAUUGUCCAGAAAAGAUUUGUUGAUACUAAUUACAGAUGAUAGAAAGAGGUAUAGGUGGAGAAGAGAAAUCUGCGAGUCAAAUUAGGGAUAAUUGAUUCUGAUACUAGUUAUAUUGAAAAUAAUAAUAACAAUUGCAUGAAGAUAGUCAAUAUUCUUCUCUAGAUAUAUUGUAUGGACUUCCUUGCUGCCUUUAUCUAUGUGCAUGUUGACUAAAGCUAAUCUAGAAUCAAUAGAGAGGGAUAUUUAUCUAUUUUGUUUAACAUAAGAGUGCUGUAUAAUUUUUCACUAAAUACACCUACAACAAACUAUUAAUAAUAAAGUGAUAGAAGAAUGCCUAAAAUAUAGGUAUUAAUGUCAUAAUAAGCCCAUGUGGAUCUCAGUGCCGCAAGUUCGAUAAAUGGCUAUCAAGGAUUGCUUAUUAAGUCAAAAUAUUCAAAGGACAAAAUGGUAAAACUAUAAGGGUGGAGUAAUAUGGCUAUCUUGGGUUACAUAGUAAGUCAACUACAUUCAAAGUAUAAAAUAUUAGAACCUGAACGGCGGAGUAGUCGUCGUUAGAACCUGAACGGCGGAGUAAUCGUCGUUAGAAUCUGAAUGAUAUGUCUAAGACGUUGCAUGCAUCUAGAAAAUUGCAGAUGAUUAGACCUUGCCAUCUAUGCGUUGUAUGAGGUUAUAGCAACUAUCUAUCUGGUCACCGUUUUCAAGUCUCAAUUGGUAGUCCAAACUCCAAAGAAAAGAAUGAUUCUACAAUAGCAUUAAGUGUUAAUUGGACACAAAAAGAAAUGUUUUAACCACUUUAAGGAAAGUAAAUGUAAUUUUGUGUCCUAAAGAAAAGGUAAAUGUAUGCACUGUCAAUUAAUCUUUGGUCGACCAGCAACAUCAUAAUUUUGUGUAGGUUCAUUUUUGUUUCUUAGAGUUUGUAAAAAGAAUGGGAAGAUUUUAAAAUAUAAAUUUCAUAUCUGUUUAUUACUGUUGUUUGGUCUAAUUUCUUAUGUAGAAUUUUCAGAAUCUGUAGGACAUUAGUUUAUAAUUUUGAGAUUUUGCAGCCAUAAAUGUUUUUUUUUUCUUUUUUCUUUCUUUUUUUUUUUGUUGGCAUUUUAUUUUGCUCCUUUAUCUAUGUGCAUGUUGACUGGCUGCAGUGAGUGAAAAUUUACCCAUAUAUGCUGGCUAUUCUUGGACAAUAUUAGAGAAAAUAAUCAUAUUAUUUCGCUUGAUGUGAACUUCCAUAACUUAUCAAUUGAAUUGCUGUAAAAUAUUAAAUAGUUUUAUUUUUCUUUUAUCGUGUAACUUGGACCAAAAAAGGAAAUGAGUUUAACACGACCCUCAUUCUGCUUCUUGCUUUGGUUUCAAACAAGUCUUUCUCCUUUAUGACAUUUAUUGUAAUUUCAUUUGGAGACAUAUAUCUGUCGUUCAAAUAUAUUUCAUACGUAAGCUGUUAAUAAUUCUGCUUGCAGAAAGCCUACAAAGCAGCUGUGUGAUGUAAUAGAAGACCAUAGUCUCGUCAAUUUUUCAACAUUAGAUAUUCAGGUCAUCAGCUUCUCAUGAAUUCUUUCCUGAGUUUCUUUGAAUUAUUUGUGAUGUAAUAACUUGUGCAUUUGAGAAACUGUUCUCAUGAAUUCUUUCCUGAGUUUCUUUGAAUUAUUUGUGAAUAAGUUCCUAAUCGGCUGCUUCUCCUCAGGAUAAGGAAAGUGUUGCAAACUGGUGAAGCAGCUGAUAGAUAAAAGCAAUGGGUACAUCUUUGCUGGCAUGGAUCGAUGCCAGUGCGGUUGAAUUCAGCAAGACUGCCGUUCGUGAUGUUGUUGAUUGGGAUUACAUUAAGGAUGAUGACAACAUUGAUUAAAAUGGGACGUGAAGAUAUAUGGUGUGCAAAUUAACCCAACCCAACCAAACCCGUACAUUUUAUCAACCCAACCCAACCCAACCCGUAAAAAAUCACACGGAUUAGGUUGGUUUCACGGAUUGGGCGGGUUAAUUCUAAUUUCUUUAUAAGUUUACCAAAAUUAGAUCUGCUUACCUUUGUUCAUUCAGCAACAACACUUACAAUUCACAGCUAGAGAAUCUAUCCAUUGACAAUUGUGGAUUAAAAUUAUAACACCUGAAUUCAAACAUAUCCUUAUGAAGUUAUGAAUUUGUUCAUACUUCAAAUGAUUUUUUUUUUCCAAGCUAAUAAAGCAACGACUUUGAUCAAACGACGACGUUGAAGGAAUUACGUAUUUUCAAUGUCCUUUGCCAGACAGACGCUGGAGAGAGGGAAAGGAGAAGACUGGCCUAAUUAAGAUAUCUCACAAAGAUUAUUAUUGAGUUAAAAUGUUAUUGUAAAAGAUGUUUAAUACAAUAAUAGUACUUCUUUUGCAUUGUUAUAAUGAGGCUGGCGGGUUUCCUCAGAGGAUGGAUCUGGCUCGCUAGUAUGCAUUUGGGAAGCUGCUAAUUAUCGGCCAUAAAAAGUCAGGGGGUUGUGGCUCGUCCGUCGCCCAGAAAUUCCUAAACUCAUAUAUCAAACUUCAGAUGAACUUGGGCAUUAUGUAAAUAUGUAUUUUUGAGAAUUAAACUAGUGCGUUAGAAAAAUUUUGAGCCAUUGUAAUCAUUUUAUUUUGCUAAGAGAAAAUUUUACUCUGUGUUUCGCUUUGCCUUUUGUUUUUUCUGUGAUAAUAUGAUUCAUACGAAUGUGAUUACACACUAUCAUGCAUCUAUUUUCAUUUGCUUGUCAUGAAUGAUCAACAUGCUCGAAAUAUUUAUUUAGGUUGGAAAUAUUUAAAUCUAUUAAAAUACUAUACACACCCAUUUAAAAAUAAAAAUAUGAUUAUCAUAAUGAUCGCGAAGAUAACACGAUAUCAUACAUAAAAUAAAAUAUUUCGCAAAAAAGAAAAGAUACACUUGAAUACAUUGGUAUAAAAAAUAUUUUAGUGGAUUCAAGUAGCACUAAUGCCCCCUUAUCAAAAAAUAUAUAAAGAUAACUAAUCUGAUUGGGUAUACCGUGUGUGUGUGUAAUAUUUUUUGAUAUUAUUAUAUAAUAUUUUUUAAAAAGAAGAGAGUGGGCAAAGUCCAAAUCAAUUUUCUAAUCCCUAUCUCCUUUAGGAUUUCUAGUCAAAGAGGCUAAAUUGCACGAAAUUGUGCUAGCUUAUUUGAUUUUAAAAUUUUCCAAUGCACUGUAACACACUCUCAUGCUUGUACAUAGCUCGAAAAUCUCUAGAAUUUACCAGAGUAGUGUACCAUGUAGCUUGUACAUAGGUUUUUCUGGAACACUCCAAGCGUUACUAAGCAUAAGAGCUUUGAGAACUCUCUAGACAUAAAACAUUCAAGGGUAGGCCUACCCUAAAAAUAGGGCAUGAUGAUUGCCAUUUGAGCAUACAAGAAGUAAGAACAAAUCAAGUAUAUUUGUAAGCUCCCAAACUCUCUCGUACACACUCUUGUGAAUAAUAUGCUUUCUCUUUGACUACAUUACUCUCUCUUCUCUCUAGUUUUUUUCGUAAGUAUCAUAGCUUAGCUAGUCGAAAAGUUCAAGUAGGAAUGAUAAUUUUUCCUGACAGGAUGUGGGAUCCCAUCUCAUUUGGGACGGGAUUGGGACACAUUUUUAUCCCACAAAAAAAUAUAGGGACGGGAGUAGAAAUUUUUUUAUCCCACUUGUAUAUAUGGGACAGGACUGAGAUUAACAAAUUCAGUCUCGUCCCGUCCCGUCUCAUUACCAACUAGGGAUGGAAAUUUUUCCAAUUGGGAUGGGCUCUCGCAGAAUCCCAUUUAUUUUGGGAUGCAAUUGAGACAUAUUUUUAUCCCAAAAAAAUAUAUCGAGAGUGAGACUUUUUUUUAUCCCACUUGCAUAUUCGGGACGAGACUGAGAUUAGUAAAUCUCACCCUAUCCCAUCCCAUUGCCAACCCUAAGUUCAAGGCUUACUUUGCAAUUAUCUCAUAAAAGUUGUUUUAAGUACCACAGGAGUUUGUUGUGCAAAAUACUCAUCCCGUGACAUUAGCUAAAUAAAAUUAUUUGAAAGCCACUUACCCAAACUAUUAAACAAAUAUUAUUCUUUUAAUAUGUAAUCUUUUAAUAUAAAACUUUUGUCUUAAUUUUCUAUCUCCUACAAUAAAUUUUAUGAUUUUAAAAAUUGAAAAAAUUAGUAACUUUUAGAUAGAGCAUUCCUUACUGUGAAAAGAAAUAUGAAUGGUAAUAUAAAACUUACUUAUUAUAGUAUAAUGCUUUUAGUUUUUUGAAAUAUAGGUUCUUAUUUUUUUCAAGAUAAAGUUCAAAGAAAACAAGUUAAAUGUUGUGGAAAAUCUUACGCACAUACAAUAAAUUAUGACAGCUAAAUGCAAACCUGGCUGAAGUAUUAGUUGUUUUAUUACAGAGACAAAAGGACAAUAUCACUAUCCAAGUCAAAAGCAACUCAAUGUGAGUCUUAGGGCACUCGCAGUGAAUCCCAAGAUAAACUAAUUUCACUAGCAAGUUGGAUACCAAAGAGUAAGGCUUCAGCCUCAAUUAUAUUAACAUUAGCUGAGUAAACAUUAAAUACCACAAUCAAUCUCAGAAAUCAUAAUUAAACUAUCAUGAUUAAAAAUAAAGUUUUUUUUUUAGAUAUCCGUUUGUAGUAUCUCUUUAGAUGACAAGUAGGAGAUAAAGUAAAUAAAUAUUGGUUGCGUAAAUAAAAAUAAAUAAAUUUUUUAACUGAAAAAAAAAUUCCUAAAAACUAAAUAGUUCAAACUUUUUUUAACAUGAAAUAAAUAUUUGAUGCGUAAAUAAAAAAAAUUUAACUGAAAAAAAUUCCCAAGAACUAAAUAGAUCAAACUUUUUGUUUAACAUCAUGGGUUUUGUAUAUUCAAUUGAACCGAACAACUAAAUUAAAUCGAAAUUACCAUGUUCGGUUCAAAUGAAUAGACGAAAACCGAACAGUUUAUAUUUUUAUGAACUGAUGGUGCGUUUACUUCAUGAAAUGAAAAUAUGGUGGAAUGAGAAUGUGUUAAAAUGAAAAUGAGGAAUGAGAAUGAGAUUCUAAUGUUUAUUUAGUAAAAAUAAAGGGAAAUGAGAAUGUGCUGGAAUGUCAUUGAUGUGUUUAUUUGACAAAAUAAAUGACAAAAGUAUCAAUUCGGAUCCUGCUAAUGAUAGUUUGCCAUAUCCUUUGUCAUUGAACUUUCUUACAAAUGCUGUGGUUUGUUGUAGUAUAAUUAGUUCAAUCAGAAACUUCCUUGAUGUUAAUAUAGAUAUGAGUGUGCUGUGAAUAUUGAGGACUUCAUUAGACUAAGUGAUGUGAUGAUGGAGCAUUCACUUGGUCCCAAUGGAGGUUAGUCAGCCCAUUGUUGUUUACUCUUUCUUGCUUUAUCACGCAAUGAUAUUCCUUUGCUUCACAACAAAUUUCAUGAAAUUAACUUCAAUCGAGUGGCUAUGUUCAUACGCUAUUGAGAUUUUAUGGACAAUGAUUUGGUAGACUUUAUAUGCCGUCUUCUUUCUUUUUGCAGUGAUAUGUUUGUAUGCAAUGCACUUGUACUUGUUCUAUGGUUUCUAAAGUAGGCGUUUUUAUGAUAAACUAGGUCUUGGGUAUUGUAUGGACUAUCUAGAGAAGAAUAUUGACUGGUUGCAGUCGAAAUUGGAACCACUUUUGAAAGGUAAGAAGUGGCCAUUUUCCUUCAUUCUAAUGCCAAUAAUGCUGUCAUGAGACUCAUAAAAAUUGUUAAAACGUUAAUGUUUUUGGUAUUUUGCAGAUCAUUAUCUUCUGUUUGAUUUUCCUGGCCAAGUUGAAUUAUUUUUUCUUCAUUCCAAUGCCAAGAAUGUUAUAAUGAGACUCAUAAAGAAGUUAAAUCUCAGGGUAUUGUUACAUCUUACGUCUAUGAAGGGACUCAAAGAGUUGAGAUGAAUUCAUCAUUAUUAUUUUGAUGCCAGAAUUGUGCAAUUCUCAGUUGCUUCCUUUCACAUGCAGUUGACUGCAGUGCAUCUAGUUGAUGCGCAUCUUUGCAGUGACCCCGGGAAGUAUGUUAGUGCUUUGCUUCUCUCGUUGUCGACGAUGCUACAUCUGGAAUUUCCCCCAUGUCAAUGUCUUGUCUAAGAUCGGCCUGAUUGAGAAUUAUGGAAAGCUAGGUGUGGUUUUAAGUGUAGCUCUCCUACUUGUUUGUUUAGAUUGAGAUAUCAGAUAUUGUCACAAGCUCCUAUCUGCUACAUUUCCUCACCAAUCAAUUACUUUGGGUAUGUUGCAGCUUUUAAUCUCGAGUACUAUACGGAUGUGCAAGAUUUGUCAUUUUUACAGCAUGCUCUGGGUCAGGACCCUCGUUCUGCUAAGUAUAGGUUUGAAUUCUAGCUGAAUCAAUGAUGCAAAUUAUGUCCAUUGCUAUUUCUGACUGUCGUUUCUAUCAUUUUCAAUUGUUACCUCCCCUUGCCAUCUACUGCCAUACUGCAAUGCCCACACAAAUGUUAUGAAAUUUGUCAAUGGAAAUGACAUUCUAUUUGUCCAGAGACAGCUCUUAGAUGCAAGUGAACAAUUUUUGGCUUUGGCCGUAGUACAGCCUUAGAUUUCAACUUGCCAUAUCUUGUCUCGGAAGUCAAAAGAAAGCAUAUAUGUUAGCCAAAUUUUAUUUGAAUUUCUUGUGUAACAAUGAAUGGGGAAAAAAAACAGUUCCUCUUUUGUUUUGAUCAGACUCAAUGAAUAAGUGGUUAAAAUGUGCCUGUACUAGAAAUAUAGAUGUGUGGUUUCAUAAAAUUUUCUUGAUCUUAAGAAAGAGUUAUCUUGAAAAGAAGAUAACAUGGGGAAUUGAACAACUAUACAGUCAUAUUGAUGUCUGUCAACUUGGGUCAUAUGGUGUCGUUUGGAUGGAGAUGUUAGGUCCCAGAUGGUAAACUUGUUAUCGAAUUCCAGUCUACUUCAUUCAUGCUUUGAUGACAUAUGUGGUGCAGCUUCUUAUCUAAGACCUGCAUAUGUUACAGUCAACAUUCUGUUCUGUAUUUGGCUGCCAUUCUUUUCAAUGAAUUCAAACCACUUUCUGAAUACUUGGAAAUUCAUCCAGUGUUGUCAUUGAGAUGCCAAUAUGAAAAGAAGCCAUAAUUGCCCUUGAUAGUAUGCUUAUUGAUUGCCUCUUGCCUCACUCAACCUCAGGAAUCUGCUUGUAUGGUGUUCUUCUAAUUUCAAUUGGAGAUAAAUAAUAUCUGUUGUUCAAAUAUAUUUUAUUUACAAGCUGUUAAUAAAUCUGCUUGCAGAAAGCUUACAAAGGAGCUGUGUGAUGUAAUAGAAGUCUACAGUCUGGUCAAUUUUUCAACCUUAGAUAUUCAGGUCACCAGUUUCUCUUGAAUUCUUUCUUGAGUUUCUUUGAAUUAUUUGUGAAUAAGAUCUUAGUUGACUGCUUCUCUUCAGGAUAAGGAAAGUGUGGCAAAACUUGUGAAGCUGAUAGGUAAAAGCAAUGGGUACAUCUUUGCUGGCAUGGAUGCCAGUGCAGUUGAAUUCAGCAAGAUUGCCGUUCGCGAUGUUGAUUGGGAUUAUUUCGGAUAUCCUUCUUUUCACCUAUUUUCAAUCUUGUUAUUCUCAUAUUCAUAAAACUUUUUGGUUAUUUAAUUAUGGUUCAUCAUAUGCAUCUGCAUCUUCUAACUUGUUCGUUUGAGAAACUAAUUUUGCCGUUAGGUAGGCUUCGAGCUUGAUGAGUUGAUUCAUGCUUUUUCAUAAAUGUACCAAAAUCAUGGAAACUUCUUUUUCCCAGAUAUUGUAUCCACACUUUUCCCAUAUAAUUGGGUCAGACAAGUUUUGCUUAACAAAGAUAUCUACAGUAGCCGAAGUGCAGGAGAAGUACAUUAAGGAUGAUGACGAUGUUAACUAAAAUGAGACGUGAAGAUAUGUGGUGUGCAAACCGUAAGCCUGCCUCUUAAUUUUGUGCAUGUUUACUUGCUUGUGAUUCACGUUUGUUAAUCUAUUUUGCUCUCUUGCAGGAGUUAUAAAGUUUUCAAUCAAUCAAACAUUUAACUCAAGUCCUUAGCUCUUCACGGCUUGAAUGGGUCAGAUAGGACAAGCGCCGAAGAGGUGGUUUUAAUCAAACCCCUCCUAAUUAUGAUGUAUGGUCCGAAUCUCGGACUUUUUGUACAAUAUCAAGCGAUUUUUUUUUGGUUGAAUCGGCUAGUGUACGCAAAUGUCGAUUAUUGAUUUUUCUCCAGUAUUGUUUGUAAUUACAAGAAACGAAGUAAUGAAAUUUAUCACUGCGUUCAUAGUUAUGCUUAAGCUCAAAGAUUACCGUCAAGAUCAUUUUGGGCCCUCAAAGAAACAUGAUGUUGACACAUGUAAAAUUAUGAAGCUUGUGAUUAAAAUACUUUUCACAUAUAUAUGUUAAGUUCUAUUAAUAAUUAAAUAUAUGAAUAAAUAUGGUCAAUGAGGAGAGGAUAAAAUAAAAUGGUUUCAUUUUUUGAAUUACCCAUCCGCUUCAAACUUCUAAGAAGUAGAUAUACAAUCAGUGGAAUACUGAAUUGAGUACGAGCUGCGGAUAACUUAUAAAAUUGGGAUACAAGCUUCAAGGAAAGUGUAUUGCUAUUCAAAUGUAGAUUUCAAAUUAAGAAGAUAUGCCAACAAAUUAUUCUAAAUGAUGAAAUGAGCUAUCUUGAUCAAAAGGUCAAGAACCUACCUUACUUCUCUUAGAGAUAACUUGCAUCAACCGUUGUGGUAUUGAUACUUGUCUUCAGCUAGUAAAAGUGAAAGUUUCACAAUUGAAAUAAAGCUAAGGGAAGAUGCUAUGCUCCAUUUAUUAUUAUUAUUAUUAUUGACGUGGUCGAGAAGUAAAGCCGUGCAUAUGAUGAAGUAUAAAUAAGAAUGCAAUAGCCCGGAAUUCAUUUACACAAACACUUCAAUAUCCUUUCGAUCACUUUUGCAAACAUCAAUUUGUCUCCUCUUGUAUUCACCAUGGUUGAUGCCAUCGUUUCCCCUCUCGUGGAGCAGCUGACUUCCUUCGCUGCUAAAGAGAUAAUACAACAGGUGAUCGAAGUUACACCCCCCAUAGUAUAAAUACUUCUAAUGAUUUUAAUUGGUUUUGUUUUUAUCGAAAACAUUAACUUUGCUUUAUUUUACGCAUUUAGGCAUUUUAAAUUUUGAAAUUUGAAUUGAAUUUAAUUAAAAUGUGAUUUAGUUAGUAACCACUUUUUUUUUUCAUUUAUAUUCUCAAUAACUACCCAUAUUUUGGUAACUUACUGUAACCCCCGUAUCUAAGAAAUUAUCAAAACCCACAAUUUUAACUCCACAUAAAUAUUCCAUGUUGAGCUAAGUUCGAUGUUGAGGUAAGUUUUUUGCAUAACAUUCAAAUUUGUCAAAUAGUCAUUAAUUUAAUGUUUAGUAAAAACUCAUCUCUGAAAAAUUUCAUAAUUUUCUUACAUUAUUUGAGUCUGGUAAGUGACUUCAUAUAAUUUCUUUUCAAUUUAAAUUUUAAUUUGGUUUCUGAUAUAGUCUCUUUACUGAAUUUAUAUCUUUUAUGAUUCUUGGAUUUUGGGCUCCAACUUUUUAGGAUUUGAUAGUCACAUUUUAUGGCAUGCUUAGAUUGAUGUUCAUGAUUUUUAGUACUCGUUAAGUGACUGAGAAUUUGACAAAAGUUUGAAAGGAAAUCCGUUUCACGAUUCUUAUGUGGAAGGUUCGUAAAAUCAUGAAAUUUGGAUAGGAUUCAUUAGCAAUAUGUACAAGACUGUCCAUAAAGUUUCAUAAUUUUUCAUUCGGUCGGGGGUGGUACAGGUGAAACUUGUGGUUGGUGUUGAAGAAGAAGUGAAAAGCCUUACCAGCCACCUUCAAGCCAUUCAAGCUGUGCUCAAUGAUGCAGAGGAAAAGCAAGUGAAGGACAAAGCUGUUAGACAUUGGCUGGGUAGGCUCAAGUAUGCAUCCUACGACAUUGAAGAUGUGUUGGAUGAGUGGAUCACAGCUAGACACAAAUUGCAAAUUGAGGGUGGCGUUGAUGACAAUGCUCUUGCUGCUCCUCAAAAGAAAAAGAAGGUAUGUUUCUGCUUUCCUGCCUCUUGUUUUGGAUUCAAACAAGAAGAAUUUGGUUUCAGACAAGUCUUUCUACGUUAUGACAUUGCCAACAAGAUCAAAGAAAUGAAUGAAGAGCUACAUGCUAUUGCUACUCAAAAAGACAUGUUUAAUCUUGUUAAGAGUGGCAAUAAAAGUGGUGAAAGACCAAGGCGUGUACAGAGUACCUCCUUGAUUGAUGAGGAAGAGAUUUGUGGUAGAGUUGGUGAGAAGAAUGAACUCAUAAGCAAGCUGUUGCGUGAGAGUAGCGAGCAACAAAAAGGCCUCCAUAUCAUCUCAAUUGUUGGUAUGGGAGGCAUAGGGAAAACUACUCUUGCACA